UUGCCCGAAUCCUGACACAGGGAGGUAGUGACAAGAAAUAACAAUACAGGGCUACUUCUAGUCUUGUAAUUGGAAUGAGUACAACUUACAUCUCUUCACGAGGAUCAACUGGAGGGCAAGUCUGGUGCCAGCAGCCGCGGUAAUUCCAGCUCCAGAAGCGUAUAUUAAAGUUGUUGCAGUUAAAACGCUCGUAGUCGGGUUUCGGGUCGGGCCGAGCGGUCUGCCGAUGGGUAUGCACUGUUUGGCGCGGCCUUCUUUCCGGAGACCGCGGCUACUCUUAACUGAGCGGGCGUGGGAGACGGAUCGUUUACUUUGAAAAAAUCAGAGUGUUUCAAGCAGGCAGCUCGCUCUUGCAUGGUACAGCAUGGGAUGAUUGAAUAGGACUCCGGUGCUAUUUUGUUGGUUUCGAACACCAGGAGUAAUGAUUAACAGGGACAGUCAGGGGCACUCGUAUUCCGUCGAGAGAGGUGUAAUUCUCAGACCAAUGGAAGACGAACCACUGCGAAAGCAUUUGCCAGGGAUGUUUUCACUGAUCAAGAACGAAAGUUAGGGGAUCGAAGACGAUCAGAUACCGUCGUAGUCUUAACCAUAAACCAUGCCGACUAGGGAUUGGAGGGUGUUCGUUUCGACCUCUUCAGCACCUUACGGGAAACUAAAGUCUUUGGGUUCCGGGGGGAGUAUGGUCGCAAGGCUGAAACUUAAAGGAAUUGACGGAAGGGCACCACCAGGAGUGGAGCCUGCGGCUUAAUUUGACUCAACACGGGGAAACUUA
rnacentral:rRNA from 1 species